AAUGGCUGCAGUAAUUUGACUGUACAAAGGUAGCAUAAUCAUUAGUUUUUUAAUUAAAAGCUUGUAUGAAAGGUUGGACGAAAUAAAAUCUGUCUCUUUUUAAUAUAAUUAGAAUUUAAUUUUUAAGUUAAAAAGUUAAAUAAAUUUAAAAGACGAGAAGACCCUAUAGAGUUUAAUAAUUUUUUUUUUUAAUUAAUUUAGAUUUAUUUAUUUUAUUUUUAAAAAAUUAUUUUAUUGGGGUAAUAGAAAGAUUAAAAUAAUUCUUUUUUAAAAAAAUCAUUAAUUUAUGAAAAUUUAUGAUCCAUUGAAUUUUGAUUAUAAGAUUAAAUUACCUUAGGGAUAACAGCGUAAUUUUUUUUAAGAGUUCAUAUCGAUAAAAAAGUUUGCGACCUCGAUGUUGGAUUAAAGAUUAAUUUAGGUGUAGAAGUUUAAAUUUUUGGUCUGUUCGACCAUUAAAUCUUUACAUGAUCUGAGUUCAAACCGGUGUAAGCCAGGUUGGUUUCUAUCUUUAAAAAAAUUUAAUAUUUUAGUACGAAAGGACCAGAUAUUAUAUAUAUUAAUAUUUAAGUUAUUGAAUAUU
rnacentral:rRNA from 1 species